rnacentral:rRNA from 1 species
ACUGUUGAACUUGGGACCGGGAGAGGCAAGAGGUACUUUCUGGGGGUAGGGGGUAAAAAGUCCUGUAAUCCUAGAAGGACCACCGGUGGCGAAGGCGUCUUGCUAGAACGGAUCCGACGGUGAGGGACGGAGCCCUGGGUCGCAAACGGGAUUAGAUACCCCGGUAGUCCAGGGUGUAAACGCUGCAGACUUGGUGUUGGGAACCCUUCGGGGGUGCUCAGUGCCGGAGAGAAGUUGUUAAGUCUGCUACUUGGGGAGUACGUCCGCAAGGAUGAAACGUUAAAGGAAUUGGCGGGGGAGCACCGCAACGGGAGGAAGCGUGCGGUUUUAAUUGGAUUCAACGCCGAAAAACUCACCAGCAGCGACUGUUACAUGAAAGUCAGGUUGAUGACCUUACUAGAUUUUCAGAGAAGUGGUGCAUGG